rnacentral:rRNA from 1 species
CCUAAACUUGAGCUAAAAUCAAUUGUCUGAAUCAAAACCUUUUGAAUGAAAUAAAACUUUCAACAACGGAUCUCUAGGCUCUUGCAUCGAUGAAGAACGCAGUGAAAUGCGAUAAGUAAUGUGAAUUGCAGAAUCUCGUGAAUCAUCGAAUCUUUGAACGCACAUUGCGCCCUAUGGUAUUCCGUAGGGCAUGCCUGUCUGAGCGUCAGCUCCCCCCCAACUCAAGCUUCUUUUUGAAAUAGAAGCCUGGUUUAUCUUGGAGAAGUCUCUCUACCUACAGAGUCACUCUUCAGCAAUUAAUAGGCAGUAUGGUUUGUACCUGUUAUCAGACGUAAUAAGAAUAUAAAUUCGUUUGAAGGAGACCAGCCUGUACUUGCCCUAACUCAUCCAUUCUUCUUUUGGGUGACCUCAGAUCAGGUAGGGAUACCCACUGAAC